UACGAAGGGGGCUAGCGUUGUUCGGAAUUACUGGGCGUAAAGCGCACGUAGGCGGACUGUUAAGUCAGGCGUGAAAUCCCGGGGCUCAACCCCGGAACUGCCUUUGAUACUGGUAGUCUCGAGUGCGGAAGAGGUGAGUGGAAUUCCGAGUGUAGAGGUGAAAUUCGUAGAUAUUCGGAGGAACACCAGUGGCGAAGGCGGCUCACUGGUCCGGUACUGACGCUGAGGUGCGUAAGCGUGGGGAGCAAACAGG
rnacentral:rRNA from 1 species